CAUGCUUCUCGGCCUUUUGGCUAAGAUCAAGUGCAGUAUCUGUACUAUCACUCUAGCCCCCAAGGUUGGGUUUUGGUUUUUUGAGUAUUUUUUUGUUUAUUUGGUUUUGGUUUUUGGGGUCAUACCCAGUGAAGCUCAGGCAUUACUCCUGGCUCUGCACUCAAGAA
ensembl:snRNA U2 U2 spliceosomal RNA